AUGGAGAUGCGCAAAUAUUUGAAGAUGCUCGAAUGUGAGGAGGAGGAGGAGGAGGGGAAGAUGACCCCGGAGGAUUUAGCGAUGGCUGACCAAUUUGAGAAGGAGCUAUUAGAGAUGGAAGCCAACUUUCUCAAAGUCCAGGAGCAGGAUGAUAAGGACACGCCAAACUGGAUCUCUGUCUCACAUCAGGAUGAGGCAGAGGAGAUGGAGUUGGAGGACAGGUCGUUUGCUAGACGCCGUAAGGGCUGGGAAUCUGCAUGGGGAGACCGCAGUGACUUCGAAGACUUGACCUUAUUGAGUCCUAUGCACUUUACACAUUGCACGCUGGGACUGAUCCCCUACACUGCUAGCACUGUGAGCGCCUUGCAGAUCUACUCUGUCAAGAUUGUUGAAACAAAGGGAAAGUUGAAGUGGCCACUCUAUGUCUAUAGGGUCGUCGCUGCCCGAGAUGCCGUAGAUCACAACCGUAACAUUCUCUUCUCUCGGCAAAGGGAAGACUACCAAGAACUCACUCUAGAGGAUCCUUUUUUGCACCUGACUGGCCCGUCUCGUGCGAUUGUGGCUGUGGACAAUGUUGACUUCGAAAUCCAACUCAAAGUAAAGGGCACAACAUGGUCUGGUGACAAAGCAUUGAUCAGUCACUUCCAGACCUACCCCGGUGAUCGUGAAGGUUUAGAUACAGCGCUCUUUAGCAACUCCUUUUGCACGAUAGAGUUAUGUUUUGAGCGACUUACAGAAACCGUCCAGGCUACUAUCUUGAGUGUCUGUGUUGUUGAAGGGUGGCCAUCACCUUUUGAAUACGGCGGCCGGAUUAUGUGCUCCUCACCACCACAGGAAGUUAAGGACCCCCUAUCCAGGCAUGUUGUGUUGGUUGAUUCUCAUGAUUUUGAUGGAGAAAUGCCAAUGGGCUCAGCUGGUUACGUUGAUCUGUCAAGGCAUGUUGUUUCUGUAGAACUGGGACAUAACCUGCAAUUUGUCAUACAAGCUUACUCACAGUCUGGUGCCAUUGCUAGGCAAAGCCGUCUCACGUUUAGGACCAAAUAUUGCAACAUAAGUCGAGGUAUAUGUGAGAUUGGUGACUCUAAGGUGGAGAUUACUGUUGCUUGGUCCCAGCUUAUCAAGAGCAAGAUGGAAAUCCUCUAA
rnacentral:rRNA from 1 species